UGUCCCGUUUUUAGUACCAUUCAUUUAGGUCAAAAGAAUGAGUGGCUAUGCUAAUGGGAGAGAGAAACUUUGUCAUAGUCUGAAGGAGAGGCUGGCAGUAUUACCCAGCUUUCCAAUAUGAAAUGACAGCACAUUGAAUA